rnacentral:rRNA from 1 species
UACAGAGGAGCCAAGCGUUGUCCGGAUUGACUGGGCGUAAAGCGCACGCAGGCGGUCGCGCGCGUGGGGUGUGAAAUCUGGCCGCUUAACGGCCAGGCGCCAUCCCAUACGGCGCGACUGGAGGCUUGCAGAGGUCGGUGGAAUUGCCGGUGUAGUGGUGAAAUGCGCAGAUAUCAGGAGGAACACCGGUGGCGAAGGCGGGUCUCUGGGCCGAUACUGACGCUGAGGAGCGAAAGCGUGGGGAGCGAACAGG